rnacentral:lncRNA from 1 species
UUUUUCUCAUGUAAUAAAUGAGGCGUUAAAAAAGGGAUAAGGCGCAAUAAUUGAUUGCCCAUUCAAAUUCAAACUUUAUUUUGAAUUUGAAUGGCCAACCAAUCAUCCUUAUCUAUUCAUUUGGCACAUUAAAGUGGGGCAUGGAGAGGGCUUGGUGUGAGAAAAAAAUUCAUGAGAAGUUCCUUCUCAUGAAUUCAAAUGGGUGCAAUGGAAGUGAGGUGGCGCAUAGAGAUUGGGUCAAGGUGGUUUCAUUAUUUAAACCAACCUAAUUGAACCAAAUAAGUUAGGUCCAAUUAGACUAAUUUAAAUCCAACUUAAUUAGACUUAAUUAGGCUCAAUAAA